GGAAGAGCAAAUGCAGCUUCAUUCCUAUGAGUAAGAAUUUUAAUCUCUUUUAAAACAGUUGUUUCAGCCUAAUUUCUGUUGAAAUUCUAUGGAAAUGCUUUUUUGACUCUCAGUGCACUUAAAAAUUAGGACUGGUCGCACAGUACAAAGAUUCUGGCCUGGGAAGAAUUGCAUCCUGUGAAGGGAAUUCUGGGAUCCUCUUCCCCUUAGUCCGUUUCUCUGUGUUAUCGAUGAUUUCAGCUAAUCAGUGUAAAACAUAUUUAUGUGAAGGUGGUGAAAAGAGUUUUAUCUUGUGAUUAGCAAAAUGUCCUUAAUGUUUGCUGUGUGUCGGGGUUGGCAUUUAAUAGCAAUUCGUCUGGCAACGUGAGAGCAGUUCCUCUCUGGUUACAGCAAAAUGCAGAGAAAACAAUUCCAAACUUCGUAAGAGCUGGCUGUCCUUAAUUACAGUCAUCCACCCCUCUGUUCUCAUGUUUUAAUAGCAGUGAAAAAUGCCUACUAAAUGCAAUUAAGUAUUUCCCUGCCCACACUGCACAGACAUAUCCUGUAUCGAGGUAUUACCAUUUGUUAAGGAGGAAAUGAAGAACAGGGAUCACAGUAGAGAUUAGCAGGAAGAUUUCUGCAUGAUUCUCUGACAUUUUGGAAUAGGUUGCCCAAGGAGGCUGUGGAUGCCGCAUCCCUGGAGGCCGGGCGGGAUUUGGCUCUGGGCAGCCUGGUCUGGUGGUUGGUGACCCUGCACACAGCAGAGGGGUUGAAACUGGAUGAUCAUUGUGGUCCUUUUCAACCCCGGCUAUCCUAUGAUUCAAUGGUUUUGUUUUUAUACAUACUUUGCAGUGAAAUGAGAUAAUUUGCUAAUUCCUCCCCCUUAUUAUGGAAAGAAGUUUGUAAAGGGAUCUGAUCUCAGUUUGUCCCAGCUUUGGCUCUCCUCGUUUCUGAACAGUAUACUUGUGGUGGUGCUUUAUGAUUGUGAAUCUGAACUGCAGCUUUGAAUGAUGAUAUAUUUCUUUUGUCUUAUGUUACUAUGUGAAGGGCUGGGGGAUGUUUUGCCCUUUUAUAAUCCUUUCUUUGCCCCUGUGUUCUCAGUGUAAUAGCUGGAUCACCAGAGCUGCAUUUAGCAGCAUUUGGGCUGGUACAUGGCAGGCAAAGGCUCGUCUCUACAGCCGGAUCAGGUCAGCACGUCAGUUCCCAGUGGUAGCCAUGCUGCUGACCUCCUUAGCAACUAGAAAGUGCUGGCAACAAAUGCUUCCUGCAUCCAGCAGGGCAAAAGGACGAGGUUUCUGUCUCAAGACUAAAUACAUACGGUCAAGAUUUAGAGUUAUCAGUAGCUGUCUUGCAGGUAGCUGCCUUUGCAAGAAUGACUCAUGCAGAAGGAUUCCUUCCCAUGGACCACAGGUACUGCAGCAUGAUGCCAGCUCUGGACAAGUUCCCGUGCUCCAGUGUUAACUCUGCUGUCCACCCCUGCUGCAGGAGUUCCUUUGCCAUGCAUCCUGCCUGGAUCACCAAGCCCCUUGCUCCCCUGUGGUGCCAACGGAUUGGGCGCUGCCUCCCCUCCCUUGGCCCAGCGUGGCAGAGGCUGAGCACAAUGCAGAGAUCAGUGACCUUAGCCAAAAACGUCCCUGUUCUGGUGAGAGGGGAGCAUGAUGGAUUUUAUUACCGUGGUACAGUAAAAGAGGAGAUGGAGAAUGAAAGGGGGAUGUUCCUGGUAGAGUUUACCAGACCUCUUCAGUUGAAUGGAAGGCAUUCGGUCUGUGUGCAAAAAACAGCAAAGGAUGACAUCCUGGAGUAUGCCAAUGGAAUGAAGCAUUCCUUGCUGCCAGGAGACAAAGUAUUGGCACCUUGGGAACCAGAUUUGGUGAGGUAUGGCCCUGGAACUGUCCUCACAGGCAUUGAGACGAGGGACCCCUUACGAGCCUCAGAAGAUGAAGAAGUUACGGUUCAGUUCUGGAAUGACAAGAAAGUGAAGCUGCCACAAGGUGUAGCGCUGUGGAUCCCCCCUAGCCUGUGUGGGAGGAUUGUGGAGAUGAUCCACAUGCCUUUCUCCAGCAGGUUAAAGCGCAGAGAAAUUCCUGAUGUUAACUCGUGCAUUUUUUCCUGCAGUCCUAAAAGCGCCUGGGUUCCUGUUUGCGUUGCACAUAGCCAUGCUAAGCACAGCUUGCUCUGCUCACCCUUCUGGCCACUUCUCCACAGUCAUUGCAGUGGUAUGUACUGUUCAUCAGCCUGUGUCCACUGCUUCUGCUGCUGCCAUGGCCAUUCUGAUGUCCGGUGGCCUCUUCUGCCUAAGUCUCAGUUCUGUAAGAGAGAAGCUGAAGAGGCAGAGCCCAGCACCAAAUCCUCUCUACCCCUUCUAGAACUGGAAGGUCCAAAACAAGAGGAGUUAGCAGCUGUGGCAGCAUGUUCCCCUUCUGAUUUAGAGGGUGAUCCAGAGGUGUUUCCCACUCAGAGUACUGCAGAGGGCAGUACUGUUAACACAGACCUCAGUCAUCCUGAGAAGCCCAGGCUGGAGGAAUCUGCAGGACCUGAAUGGAAAUACUGGAAAAGGAACCACUGCAAGUCUCGUGCCAGUGAUUCAGGAACUGGCAGAUGCAGCAGCAUAUGUACAAAAGGCAAGCUGAAAUCCAAAGCCAUCUCUGUUGUGGACAUGUCCCAUGUUGCACCACCUGAAACCACUGAGCAGCCUCCCAGAGGGCAAUUCACAAGGAAUGAAGUCAUGAAAUACCAGGAUAUCAAGCUGUCAUCAGGGGAGGAAGGCUCUGUAGCAUCAGGAAAACAAAGAUAUAGAUGUGCAAGAAAGAAAACAGAGUCUGACAAUAAACAUAAAGCAACUUGUUUAGGAGAGAACAAACUUGGCAGUACAGACCACAUCAGCAGAGAACAGAAAGGGAAAAAUACAGCAAAGAGCUCCUGCUGAAGCAGGGAGAGACAUGAUCCAUCAGAGUUCAGUAACUGUACAGCUGAUGAAGCUCAAGAACUGAAAUUUCAGGGUUAGGCUGCUGUUAUAUGGAAUUAUUUGGACACGAACUCUUUACAGCUCUGGAGAGAUCAGGUAAACUAGUAUUAGUGCUGAAAGCCUGAGCAGAUGUGAAGCAAGGAUCCAAUAAACCUCCAAUUUAUCCACUGUCCUCUGCUGCCAGCCAGAGGAAUUCAGCACAGCAAUUCCUCUGAGGGAAGCCAGAAGAAAUAGAGAAAUUAUACAACCUGACAGUCCCAAAUUUUUAUUGUUAUUAUUUUUUUUCAAGAUUAAAGCAAAAGAGAGAAAUAAAAAGAGGAACAUAUAGCUUAACACAAUUCUCAGUGGUGCAGUGUUGAAGCCAUUGAAUUUUAUAUUCUCCUUGACAUUAACUGAAACCUUAAUGCCAUCAGCUACAAAAGGAUUACAGACUAUAUAGAGCAUGUCACUAAUACUAACUGCCUUCUACUGAAAAAGGCAGCUAGGCAAUUCUUAGCCUAGUUUAGAGACUGCAGAGACAGGAUUUGAAGCUUGUCAAUGGUUUAUGUGUCUGUGCUGACUAUCUAACAUAUACUCAAGCACCUUGCUGAGGUGGGCUCCUAGACAGUAAAUGUCAUCAUAGUAAAUAGAAUUAUUGGGGUUGGAAUGGACCCCUGGAGAUCAGAGUCCAACCCUCCCCUGCUACAGCAGGGUCCCUACAGCAGGUCACACAGGUAGGUGUCCAGGUGGGUUCUGAGUAUCUCCAUAGAAGGAGACGUGGGCAGCCUGUUCCACUGCUCUGUCACCCUCACAGUAAAGCGGUUUUUCCUCAUGUUCAGAUGGAACUUCCUGUGUUCCAGUUUGUGCUCAUUGUCUCUUGUUCUGUUGCUGGGCACCACUGAAAAAAGCCAGGCCUCAUCCUCUUGACUCCCACACUGCAGAUGCUUUUAAAUAUUGCUGAUUCCCUCUGACUUCUCUCCUCCAGGCUGAACAGCCCCAGGUCUCUCAGCCUUUCCUCAUACAGGAAAUACUUCAGGCCCCUUGUUAUUUCUGUGGCCCUCCACUGGACUCUAGGAGAUCCCUGUCUUUCUUGAACUGGGGAGCCCAGAAUGGUACACAGCACUCCAGCUGUGGCCUCACCAGGGCAGAGUAGAGUGGGAGGAUCAUCUCCCUCCACCUGCUGACCAUUAAAAAAGGCACUGUUUCUUUAUCUGAAUUAUAAAAAUAUAGAUAAGGGAAAUAUACUUGAGAUGGAUGGUCAGCUGCUCUAGUGCCAGAGCUGGUGUAUGUCUGCAUUCACACCACUGGGAUCUCGUUCUCUGUGGGUAAGAACAUGACAUGGACUUUCUGCCUGAAAAAAAUUAGCAUCACAAAGACCAAAUGAUAUAUUUAUUCCACUGAUUGUAUCUUUAAUUAUUUCAAGUUUAAGAUCCUCAGAUUACACAGUUGUGUGAUUGGAAUUAAGAGACACGAAGUACAAAUAUUUAUGAAAUCAGUGUACAAAGUGGGUUGCAUACAAUUGCAUUAGG